rnacentral:tRNA from 1 species
UUCCUGAUGGCUUAGAUGGUAAAGAAUUUGCCUGCAAUGUAGGAGACCCAGGUUCGAUCCCUGGGUGGGGAA